UGGGGAAUCUUAGACAAUGGGGGAAACCCUGAUCUAGCCAUGCCGCGUGAGUGACGAAGGCCUUAGGGUCGUAAAGCUCUUUCGCCAGGGCAGAUAAUGACGGUACCUGGUAAAGAAACCCCGGCUAACUCCGUGCCAGCAGCCGCGGUAAUACGGAGGGGGUUAGCGUUGUUCGGAAUUACUGGGCGUAAAGCGCGCGUAGGCGGACCAGUUAGUCAGAGGUGAAAUCCCGGGGCUCAACCCCGGAACUGCCUUUGAUACUGCUGGUCUUGAGUCCGAGAGAGGUGAGUGGAAUUCCGAGUGUAGAGGUGAAAUUCGUAGAUAUUCGGAGGAACACCAGUGGCGAAGGCGGCUCACUGGCUCGGUACUGACGCUGAGGUGCGAAAGCGUGGGGAGCAAACAGGAUUAGAUACCCCUGUAGUCC
rnacentral:rRNA from 1 species